rnacentral:rRNA from 1 species
AUUGAACGCUGGCGGCAGGCCUAACACAUGCAAGUCGAACGAGUGGCGGACGGGUGAGUAAUGUCUGGGAAACUGCCCGAUGGAGGGGGAUAACUACUGGAAACGGUAGCUAAUACCGCAUACCAUCGGAUGUGCCCAGCGGGGAUUAGCUAGUAGGUGGGGUAACGGCUCACCUAGGCGACGAUCCCUAGCGGGUCUGAGAGGAUGACCAGCAACAUUGGAACUGAGACACGGUCCAGACUCCGACGGGAGGAAGCAUUGGGGAAUAUUGGCAAAGGGGCGCAAGCCGUAUGCAGCCAUGCCGCGGGUAGGAAGAAGGCCUUCGGUUUGUAAAGUACUUUCAGCGAGGAGGCGUUACUCGCAGAAGAAGCACCGGCUAACUCCGUGCCAGCAGCCGCGGUAAUAC